rnacentral:ncRNA from 2 species
GGUAGCCGUGGCGAUGGUGUCCGCCUGAGGAUCGUCCUCGAACCGCCGGCCGGCUGAUGACCCCUGCGACGAA